UGAAGCCGGAAUCGCUAGUAAUCGCGGAUCAGAAUGCCGCGGUGAAUACGUUCCCGGGUCUUGUACACACCGCCCGUCACACCAUGGGAGCCGGGAAUGCCCGAAGUCAGUGGCCCAACCGAAAGGGGGGAGCUGCCGAAGGCAGGCCUGGUGACUGGGGUGAAGUCGUAACAAGGUAAC
rnacentral:rRNA from 1 species